UACGGAGGGUGCAAGCGUUGCUCGGAAUUAUUGGGCGUAAAGGGUAGGUAGGUGGUCUCAUUUGUCUGGGGUGAAAGCCUUGAGCUUAACUCAAGAAGUGCCCCAGAAACGGUGAGACUAGAGUCUUGGAGAGGGUCGUGGAAUUCCCGGUGUAGCGGUGAAAUGCGUAGAGAUCGGGAGGAACACCAGAGGCGAAGGCAGCUCGCUGGGACGUUACUGACGCUGAGACGCGAAAGCGUGGGGAGCAAACAGG
rnacentral:rRNA from 1 species